GACGAACGCUGGCGGCGUGCCUAAUACAUGCAAGUAGAACGCAGUUGCGAACGGGUGAGUAACGCGUAGGUAACCUGCCUCAUAGCGGGGGAUAACUAUUGGAAACGAUAGCUAAUACCGCAUACUGUGAGAUGGACCUGCGUUGUAUUAGCUAGUUGGUGAGGUAAAGGCUCACCAAGGCGACGAUACAUAGCCGACCUGAGAGGUGGAUCGGCCACACUGGCACUGAGACACGUUCCAGACGCCUACGGGAGGCAGCAGGGGGGAAUAUUGCACAAGGGGCGCAGCCCGGAUGCAGCCAUGCCGCGUGUAUGAAGAAGGCUUUCGGGUUGUAAAGUACUUUCAGGGGGGAGGCGUUACCCGCAGAAGAAGCACCGGCUAACUCGGUGCCAGCAGCCGCGGUAAUAC
rnacentral:rRNA from 1 species